rnacentral:rRNA from 1 species
UACAGAGGUGGCAAGCGUUGUUCGGAAUUACUGGGCGUAAAGGGCGCGUAGGCGGUCUUUUAAGUCUUGUGUGAAAUCCCUCGGCUCAACUGAGGAACUGCACGGGAUACUGGAAGACUUGAGUUCGGGAGAGGGAAGCGGAAUUCCUGGUGUAGCGGUGGAAUGCGCAGAUAUCAGGAGGAACACCGAUGGCGAAGGCAGGUCACUGGGCCGCAACUGACGCUGAGGAGCGAAAGCAUGGGGAGCGAACAGG